rnacentral:tRNA from 1 species
GCUCUUGUAGUGAAAAGGAUUAUCACAACAACCUUCUAAGUUGCUAUUCCUGGUUCGAAUCCAGGCAGGAGCG